rnacentral:rRNA from 1 species
UACGAAGGGGGCUAGCGUUGCUCGGAAUUACUGGGCGUAAAGGGCGCGUAGGCGGAUCGUUAAGUCAGAGGUGAAAUCCCGGGGCUCAACCCCGGAACUGCCUUUGAUACUGGGUAUCUCGAGUCCGGAAGAGGCGAGUGGAAUUCCUGGUGUAGCGGUGAAAUGCGCAGAUAUCAGGAGGAACACCAAUGGCGAAGGCAGCUCGCUGGGACGGUACUGACGCUGAGGCGCGAAAGCGUGGGGAGCAAACAGG